AGCAGCCGCGGUAAUUCCAGCUCCAAUAGCGUAUAUUAAAGUUGUUGCAGUUAAAAAGCUCGUAGUUGAAUUUCGGGAUCAAUUUGCUGGUCGUGCCUUCGGUACGCACUGGUAUUAUUGGUUUCUCCUUUCUGAUGAAUCGCGAUGUCAUUAAUUUGGUGUCGUGGGGAAUCAGGACUGUUACUUUGAAAAAUUAGAGUGUUUAAAGCAGGCUCACGCUUGAAUACAUUAGCAUGGAAUAAUGAAAUAGGACGUUUGAUUCUAUUUUGUUGGUUUCUAGGAUCGACGUAAUGAUUAAUAGGGAUAGUUGGGGGCAUUAGUAUUCAAUUGUCAGAGGUGAAAUUCUUGGAUUUAUUGAAGACUAACUACUGCGAAAGCAUUUGCCAAGGAUGUUUUCAUUAAUCAAGAACGAAAGUUAGGGGAUCGGAAGACGAUCAGAUACCGUCGUAGUCUUAACCAUAAACUAU
rnacentral:rRNA from 1 species